GACAUGCUAGUCGAGCGCUUCAAGCCAAAAAGAGGCGCGGCAUACAGCUCAGUAACACGUGGCUAAUCUGCCCUUGGGAUAGGAAUAACCCCGGGAAACUGGGGCUAAUUCCCAAUAGGCGAAGAACUCUGGAAUGAGUCUUUACCAGAAAAGACGCUUGCGUUAUGCUCGUAGGCGUCGCCCAAGGAUGAGGCCGCGACCGAUCAGGUUGUUGGUGAGGUAAUGGCUCACCAAGCCUUUUACCGGUGCGGGCCGUGAGAGCGGGAGCCCGGAGAUGGGCACUGAGACAAGGGCCCAGGCCCUACGGGGCGCAGCAGUCGCGAAAACUUUGCAAUAAGCGAAAGCUUGACAGGGCUAUCCCGAGUGCCAUCCGCUGAGGAAGGCUUUUACCCAGUCUAGAACGCUGGGGGAAUAAGGAGAGGGCAAGUCUGGUGUCAGCCGCCGCGGUAAUACCAGCUCUCCGAGUGGUGUGGAUGUUUAUUGGGCCUAAAGCAUCCGUAGCUGGCUAAGUUAGUCCCUUGUUAAAUCCACCGAAUUAAUCGUUGGAUUGCGGGGGAUACUGCUUGGCUAGGGGACGAGAGAGGCAGACGGUAUUUCCGGGGUAGGGGUGAAAUCCUAUAAUCCCGGGAAGACCACCAGUGGCGAAGGCUGUCUGCUAGAACGCGCCCGACGGUGAGGGAUGAAAGCUGGGGGAGCGAACCGGAUUAGAUACCCGGGUAGUCCCAGCUGUAAACGAUGCAGCUAGGUGUUUGGACGGCCACGUGCCGUUCUAGUGCCGCAGGGAAGCUGUUAAGCCUGCCGCCUGGGGAGUACGAUCGCAAGAUUGAAACUUAA
rnacentral:rRNA from 1 species